AGAUCCCCACCCAGGUCUGUUUGUGGGAGAAGAAGGGCUGAAGCAAGGAGUGGAGUUUUCUCCCCAUCUCGCCCAACACCAGAAACUAUAGAUUCUCCAAGAACUUGGCUGGGCUUUCACUUCUAGCAUGGAAUAAAGGGAAACGAGUUCUACUGCUUACCCAACUUUGUGACAUAGCGAUAGCGGAUAAAGGAAGUCUAAGAGUUCCACCGCCCUUACUUAAGGGUCAGGCAGAAGAGCAGCCUUUAGGCAGACUCUAG